rnacentral:miRNA from 1 species
CGGCUGGAGGUGUGAGGA